rnacentral:lncRNA from 1 species
GGACUCAGAACAGGAACUGUGUUAGGGAUAAAAACCCCUGCCCUACCUGGCUAGGUGUGCUCUUGUGAUUGUGACUGACACAGGCAGCACCCUUUUGCAGAAGUAGAUGUGCGUUGCUGAGAAAUUUUCUGCCUAAGUUCUGGUUUUCUUUGCAGCACCCAGCAUUUGUUUCUAACACAGGGAAAGAGUGAGCUGGAGAAACCUCUCAAAUUCAAGAAAGCGUAAAGCAAAUUGAACAAUACGGGUGAGGAGCACGGACUAUUCUCUCAUGUUGAAUGUGGCACUUUUUACAUACAAGCAGGAGAGCAACUACACCAAGAUUUUGGAAAACAUGUUAUGUAAGGUUAAUUGUGACCUCUAUGAUGGGGAUAUGAUAAAGAAGAAAAGUACCUCACAGCGAUGAUUGGCAUGUGAUCACUUAGCCAAUGAGAUAAGAGGCUGUAGAAACGAUGUGAUAAUGACAUCUCCUGAGUUGCAGGUCCAUAUUAGAAGUGGAUAUGAAGUAAACAUUGAGCUUUCCUCACAUUUAAUUAACAAGCUUUAUUAUAGAUACAGCUCAAAUUAGUUAAUUCAGGAAGCUUAUUUUGUAGAAAUUAAAACAUUAAUAAACACAUACAUUUAGAAAUAAAGAACUCGGCUGACCCUUUGACUCUUUGAAACAAGUGGCCUUCCAUGCUGUGAAAGAUUGUAGCCACUCUUUGAGACAUUGGAAUGGUGUCCAUUGCAUUUUAUCAAGUUAACUAUAGGUCAGCCUGGGAAAUCUGAAGUUUCCUUAUCUCCUGUCACUGUGGUUGCUGUGAGAUUUUGUGUCAUCACUGUGCUGUCUUCCCUCUCCACAUGAAGGUGAGCUGUCUGGCUUCACUCUAACGUUUGUGAUUUCACGCCCGACCUGAUUGUUGCCAAGCAAUUCCUUUGUUUGGAGAAUUCUGUGCUUUGUUUAGAAUUUUUUAAAGGUUCUUUUCCUGUGGUCAGAUUUCUGUUUGCUACUGUGUCUUAUGCCUUGUUCUCCUACAGAGAAGAUUCUUUGAAGUUAGUGGAAGCUCAGCUUAAAGGAAGAUCUACUGCUCUGUGUGGUGGAUGACCAUGGGGGAGCGAGAAGGCAGCCUCCGGCUUUUGUUUUGUGUGUGUGUGUGUGUGUGUGUGUGUGUGAUGUACCUGGAAAAAUAACACGACUAGGAUUAAAGAGUAUGUUUGGCAUGUUUAAAAUAAAUUGUAAACCAAACGUAUUUUAAAGAAUUUAUACAAAUUUGUCAUUUAGUAAAAUGAAUGACUAUUGAGUAUUCAUGUCAAUAAAACAACCACUUGAAUACAACAAA